CCUACGGGUGGCUGCAGUGGGGAAUAUUGGACAAUGGGGGCAACCCUGAUCCAGCCAUGCCGCGUGUGUGAAGAAGGCCCUCGGGUUGUAAAGCACUUUCAGUGAGGAAGAACGCCUGGUGGUUAAUACCCAUCAGGAAAGACAUCACUCACAGAAGAAGCACCGGCUAACUCCGUGCCAGCAGCCGCGGUAAUACGGAGGGUGCGAGCGUUAAUCGGAAUUACUGGGCGUAAAGCGCGCGUAGGUGGCUUGAUAAGCCGGUUGUGAAAGCCCCGGGCUCAACCUGGGAACGGCAUCCGGAACUGUCAAGCUAGAGUGCAGGAGAGGAAGGUAGAAUUCCCGGUGUAGCGGUGAAAUUCGUAGAGAUCGGGAGGAAUACCAGUGGCGAAGGCGGCCUUCUGGACUGACACUGACACUGAGGUGCGAAAGCGUGGGUAGCAAACAGGAUUAGAUACCCGUGUAGUC
rnacentral:rRNA from 1 species